rnacentral:rRNA from 1 species
UACGUAGGGGGCGAGCGUUGUCCGGAGUUACUGGGCGUAAAGCGCUUGUAGGCGGUCCACCAAGUUUGGGGUGACAGUUGCCGACUUAAUCGGCAAAGUGCCUCAAAGACUGGCGGACUUGAGGGCCACAGAGGGACAUGGAACUCCAGGUGUAGUGGUGAAAUGCGUAGAUAUCUGGAAGAACACCAAAGGCGAAGGCAGUGUCCUGGGUGGUCGCUGACGCUGAGAGGCGAAAGCCAGGGGAGCGAACGGG